CUCUAGAACCAUACCAUCCUGAAUGGGCCUGAUCUUGGGAGCUAAGCAAGGGUCGGGCCCAGCUAGUACUUGGAUGGGAGAAAUGAUAAAUCACUAAUCAUAAUGAGAGACCCUGUGUCAAGAAUGUAGGCUGGGGGU
rnacentral:rRNA from 1 species